rnacentral:rRNA from 1 species
CAGGUCUGUGAUGCCCUUCGAUGUUCUGGGCUGCACGUGUGCUACAAUGAUAGUGACAACGAGUACCUGCUCUGAGAGGGGUGGGAAAUCUUAAAAAUCGCUAUCUUGCUUUGGACUGAGCCUUGUAAUAAUUGCUCACGAAAGAGGAAUUCCUCGUAAGCGCGGGUCAUCAGCUCGUGUUGAAUAAGUCUCUGCCCUUUGUACACACCGCCCGUCGCUACUACCGACUGGAUGUUGCUUCGAAAUGUUAGGACUUGCGGCGUCUCGACGCUGCGGGGAAUAGUUUUAUGUAAUUUCUGGAGGAAGUAAAAGUCGUAACAAGGUUUCCGUAGGUGAACCUGCGGAAGGAUCAUCAA